CGGGCGGCGUGGACGGUGCGUGCGGACUCGCAGCGACGGCGCGGCCGGGCUGGAGAGCUGCGGCACAGGGCUCUGAACUUUCAUCAUCCUUGUCAAGAUCUGGAAGCUCAGGAUAUGGUGUUGUCCACAAAUCAGUAGUGGGAUGAAAAGAUGCUUUUGACAGGAGGCUUGAAAUCUCUCCUUCCCCAUGUGCUAAGAAGAAUAAUUCGAUGCAACAGACUCAGUAUUAGUAAUACUUCAGGAAUGGCGGAAGGCUAUAAACAGGCCAACGUUGUGAUUUUGCACAAGUCCCUGGCUGAUGACUUUGAGAAGUUCUGCCGUGCGAACGAUGGACCCCUGCCACUGCUGUACCGAAGUCAGCCGGGCGACUGGAAAUGUCCUUCCCUGAGCAGUGAUUCCGACAUCAGAACUGACUGCCUGCAGUACAGAAAAUAUGAGCACGGAGCUUGUACUGGGUCACUGAAAAGCCUUAAGGAGUAUACUGAACAACUCAAGGACAUGGUGACCUUUUAUUUAGGCUGCAGCUUCUCUUUUGAAAAAGCAGUCCAAAAAGCUGGCAUUCCUAUCCGAAACGUUGAGCAAAAAUGUAAUGUAAGCAUGUACAAAACCUCUGUACCUUGCUACAGCAUUUCUAUGUUUCACUGCAACUUGGUAGUCACAAUGAGACCUAUUCCUGAGAGCAAGUUGGAGGCAGCUGUGCUAGCAACAUCUGAAUUAAAAGAAGCCCAUGGAGCACCAAUUCACAUAGGUGACCCUGGUCUGCUGGGAAUACAAGAUCUUUCUAAACCAGACUAUGGAGAUCCAGUUCACCUUCACCCUGGUGAUAUUCCAGUGUUUUGGGCCUGUGGAGUAACAGGAGUAGAAGCAAUUAUCAAUAGCAGAGCUCCGUUAGCUUUUACUCAUUCUCCUGGCUGCAUGUUCAUUACCGACCUGAAGAAUGACAAUGUCAGAUCCUUAGGAGGGGUCCCACAGGUCUGCUGCAUCUCUCAAGAUCCUCUGCAUUUCAGUAUUGUAUCAGCAGAAGCAGCCCAGAAGAUAAAGACUCUAGAGACCCUAAUUGGAAUAGAUCCAGGAGAGCGGGGUAUACGGCACCUGCGGCGCCAGGGCGAGCUGCUGGGCGCCUGCCUGGCCAUGUCCCACGCGGGCUCGGUGCUCGUCACGACGGGAUUCCCCACGCACUUCACCCACCAGCCCCCCGAGGAGAACGACGGCCCCCCGGGAGCCCUCGCCAUCGCAGCCAUGCUGCAGGCCCUGGAGAAACGGGUUGCCAUAGUUACGGAUCAGAGAGCCAUGGAUCUGAAUAAAAAGAUUAUUGAAGAAGCUGUUCAGCUGGGAAUCCUGAAGAAACCCAUCCCUCUACUGAGUUAUCAAAGGGAAAGUGCUGAUUCAGCUUUAAUGUUUUUGUGUGAGAAUGGGAAUCCUGGAAGACCUAGAUUUGAUCACCUGGUAGCAAUAGAGCGUGCUGGGAUGGCUGCUGAUGGCAAUUAUUACAAUGCCAGGAAAGUUAACAUUAAACAUCUCGUGGAUCCCAUAGAUGAACUAUUUUUAGCUGCACAAACUAUUCCAGGAGUCACAACAACAGGUGUUGGAGAUGGAGGAAAUGAAUUAGGAAUGGGCAAAGUAAAAGAUGCUGUAAAGAAGCACAUAAAAAAUGGAGACGUUAUAGCUUGUGAUGUUGAAGCUGAUUUUACUGUUGUAGCUGGGGUCUCUAACUGGGGUGGUUACGCCAUUGCCUGCGCUCUGUACGUGCUGCGCUGCUGCCAGCUCCACGACCGCUACCUGCGCAGAGCUGUCGGCUUUCCACGCGCACCCAGCGAGGAGCUCUGGCUGCCGGCGCUUCCGUCCGUCGCCAAGGAAGAAAAGCUUCUGAAAGCACUCGUGCAGCUCGGGGUCCGCAGUGGCAAAACUGCCAGUCUAGAGAUGGAGGUGGAUGGGCUGCCCUUCUACGACACCCAUUCGCUUAUGAUUGAAAAGCUGCUGCAGGAAGCACUGCAGUGACUGCCCCUAGUGAUUUCUGCAUCAAGAGUUGCUCCCAUGUAAUUUCCUUAUUCUCGAGGCUCUCACAAGGUGUAAAAGAUCAGAAAAAGAUGACUUUUCAUUUCUGGUGUGUAGCAGGAUUUUUGGAGACAGACACAGCGAGGCCUGACAAUGCUGGGAAAGUUCUGUUGUUUUAGCACUGUCAAGGAUGAUGAGCCUGAGAACCAGGACACUGAGCCUGAGAACCAGCUUUUUCCCUCAACAAAGUGUAAACAGUGUCAGGACUGAAGUUCUGCCGGCUGCCAGCCCUCGCAGCAGAGAGGGGAGGAUACAUCUGACACCACCUUUAGAGCACUGGUGCUUUACCUGUCAUAAAAUGGAAGUUGCUUUUAGUUGGACUUCCAGCAGCGAGCAACACUUGAUACUGCUUUUCCUUCCUGGCAGAUGAUGAGAGCUUGUAGAAGAUUGCUUUCUCUAGAUGUUACGGGGGAAAACAGAAAGCAGCUAAAGAUGAGUUCACCAGAAUUACACAUCGUGAGUACUGGCUUAUUCCAGUCAAUGCAGUC